rnacentral:rRNA from 1 species
UGGGCAUAUUUUGGUUCCCCCCACUUCCCAGGGAUUCCCCCCGAAAUACCGGUCGGGAUUGGGCUUUCCGGAGGGCCUGGGAAGGUCCCCUCCAGGAAGGCCGGGCGUAAUUCCCAAUUGGUUCCGGGGUUGGCGGAAAUUAAUGGGGGCUUCGUUUUGUUUUGAAUGAGCAAUUAAACCUCUUGGGGUCAAUGGAGGCAAUUUGGGCCGCAGCCCGGUAUUCCAGUCCAGAAGGUAUCUAAAGUGUGCAGUUAAAAGCUGUAGUGAAUUCUGGUUGGAACCCAGCCUCGUGCGAAUGGCCUUGUUUGCUUGCGGUCCUUUGCAUCCUCGUUUUCGUAGAAAGGGUCAUCCCUGUAUCAAGCAGAGGUUCCAGCAGCCGUAGGCCGGUAUUUUAUUAGGGAUGAUCAGAUAGACUCGGGGCUAUUUGUUGGUUGCACUUUGAGUAUGAUUAAUGGACCAGUCGGGGUAUCCGUUUUAGGAGCUAGAGGGAAAUUCUGGAUUUCCGAAGGACGACUCCAGCGAAGCCUUUACCAACCAUUUUUCAUUAUUCAGGAACGAAAUUCUGGGGAUGGAGGAUGAUUGGAUCCCUUGGUAGUUUAGCCGGUAAACGAUGCCGACUUGCGAUUGCGGGUGGCUUGUAUUGGGCUUCCGCAGCAGCCCAUGAGAAAUCAAAUUUUUUGGGUUCCGGGGGGGGUAUGGUCGCAAGGCUGAAACUUAAAGGAAUUGACGGAAGGGCACCCCCAGGAGUGGACCCUGCGGCUUAAUUUGACUCACCACGGGAAAACUUCCCAGGUCCAGCCAUAGUUAGGAUUGCCAGAUUGGGAGUUCUUUCUGGAUUUUAUGGGUGUUGGUCCAUGCCCGUUUUUAGUUGGUGGAGUGAUUUGUUUGGUUAAUUCCGUUAACGAACGAGACUUCGCCUUAUUAAUUACCCGGGCGUAGGGGGCCAUAGGUGUUGGUGGCUUCUUGGAGGGCCAUUUUCGGUUUAGGGCCAGGAAGUUGGAGGCAUUACCAGUUCGGGGAGGCCCUUAGAUGUUCGGGCCCCCACGCGCGUUCCAUUGAGGGGUUCACCGGUUGUUGUUGUGUUUUAUCGCAGCGUUGCUUUGUCGGAAGGCAUGGCUAAUCCUUUGAACGCCCAUCGUGCUGGGGCUAGAUUUUUGCAAUUAUUAAUCUCCAACGAGGAAUUCCUAGUAAACGCAAGUCAUCAGCUUGCAUUGAAUACGUCCCUGCCCUUUGUACACACCGCCCGUCGCACCUACCGAUUGAACGGUCCGAUGAAACCAUGGGACUACCUUUUGAGCGUUUGUUCGCGAUGGAGGUGGGAACUCGGGUGAAUCUUAUUUGUAGAGAAAGG